UCCGGAGGAUGCAGUCGUUAUCCGGAUUCAUUGGGUUUAAAGGGUGCGUAGGCGGAAUAAUAAGUCAGUGGUGAAAGCCUGCGGCUUAACCGUAGAAUUGCCAUUGAUACUGUUAUUCUUGAGUAUAGUUGAGGUGGGCGGAAUGUGUAAUGUAGCGGUGAAAUGCUUAGAUAUUACACAGAACACCAAUUGCGAAGGCAGCUCACUAAGCUGUUACUGACGCUGAGGCACGAAAGCGUGGGGAGAAAACAGG
rnacentral:rRNA from 1 species